rnacentral:lncRNA from 1 species
AUGUUGCUCCUUCUCCUCGCCACCCGCCUUUUGUUCCGGGAAGAAGGGAGGGAUGAGCCCCCCUCCCAAACUGCCUGCUUCUCCCGACAGUGGAGCUUCCACUCCGGAUUGCUGCUCUGCCCAAUAGCUCUAGGGGCGCGCGCUUUCGGAAAGGGGAGGAGGGGCGGCAGGGACCCCCCCCGUGGAUGUUGCAGGAAAGGAAAGGAGAUUCGCGAGCGAGGACAAAGAGGAUUUCCUUUCCUCCCACUCUGAAGAAGGAGAUGGAGAAGACAGUCAGAAGUCCAGGAGAUGGGACAUCUUUCGUUUCAUUAGAAAGAGAAAUUAAAAUGUGUGAAAUGUGGAUUAUGCUUCAUAGAAUGAGCACACAUAAUUCACAUCAAUGACCUCCGACAGGGGAGAAACCAUUGAAAGGUAAGGACUGUAGAAAGAGUUUCACUGAUAUUGGAAAACUUA